GACGAACGCUGGCGGCGUGCUUAACACAUGCAAGUCGAACGGUAAGGCCCUUCGGGGUACACGAGUGGCGAACGGGUGAGUAACACGUGGGUGAUCUGCCCUGCACUUCGGGAUAAGCCUGGGAAACUGGGUCUAAUACCGGAUAGGACCACUGCCUGCAUGGGUGGUGGUGGAAAGCUUUUGCGGUGUGGGAUGGGCCCGCGGCCUAUCAGCUUGUUGGUGGGGUGUUGGCCUACCAAGGCGACGACGGGUAGCCGGCCUGAGAGGGUGACCGGCCACACUGGGACUGAGAUCCGGCCCAGACUCCUACGGGAGGCAGCAGUGGGGAAUAUUGCACUAUGGGCGCAAGCCUGAUGCAGCGACGCCGCGUGAGAGAUGACGGCCUUCGGGUUGUAAACCUCUUUCAGCACCGACGAAGCGCAAGUGACGGUAGGUGCAGAAGAAGGACCGGCCAACUACGUGCCAGCCGCCGCAGUAA
rnacentral:rRNA from 1 species